rnacentral:rRNA from 1 species
AAAUAGCCGCAGAAUUUUAACUGUGCUAAGGUAGCAUAAUCAUUAGGUUUUUAAUUAAAACCUAGAAUGAAAGGCAAAACCACUAAUAACUUUAUUAUAUCAACAUUAUUAAAAUUAAACUAAAUAUAAAAAUAUAUUUAUAAAAAAAAAAGACGACAAGACCCUAUUGAACUUAACCGAUGUUGCGCUGGGGCAGCUAUUUAAAAAUUACUUUAAAUAAAACAUUUAAAUAAAAACCUAAUACCAUUAAAAAUAACAAGUUACCAUAGGGAUAACAGCGUAAUUUCUUAAAAAAGCUCUUAUUUAAUAAGAAGAUUGCGACCUCGAUGUUGAAUUAAACACCUAUUUAAAGUAAAAAAUUAAAAGGGGGUC